GGGCGCAUAGCUCAGCGGGAGAGCGCUACGUUGACAUCGUAGAGGUCGCUGGUUCAAUCCCAGUUGCGCCCACCA
rnacentral:tRNA from 1 species